rnacentral:ncRNA from 2 species
CGCUCAUCCAGAGGGGCAGAGGGACCGGCCCGAAGAAGCCCCGGCAACCGGCGUCAGCGCAGUGCACCAGUGCACGCGCAGACGAUCACGGUGCCAAUUCCGACCCGUUCGAUUUCGCGGGAAAGAUGAGGA